AAACAUCGGUAACAUCGAUGUUUUACCGGGCAACAUCGAUGUUUUUCCAUCUCUAAAGCACUUCGAAGAAGAUUGACGAAUAACUUUGAUAUUUGUUGGUGGUGUUGGCGUGAGUGCGGAGGCGAUUAGACAUGGACAGAUUUUUGAAAAGAACAACAAACAAGCAGCCACGAUCGGAUGAGGAGCCAAAGAGGAGGAAGCGUGAUGUUUCUAUGGCUUGGGAUCAUUUGGAUCAGGAA